rnacentral:tRNA from 1 species
AAGAGAGAAGCAAAUAUUGCAAUCAGUUUCGACCUGAUGUUAGAUAAUAACAAAUUAUCCUCACUUU